rnacentral:rRNA from 1 species
UACAGAGGUGGCAAGCGUUGUUCGGAAUUACUGGGCGUAAAGUGUGCGCAGGUGGCCGCGCAAGUCGAGUGUGAAAUCCCCGAGCUUAACUUGGGAAUUGCGCUCGAAACUACGUGGCUCGAGUGUGGCAGAGGAAGGUGGAAUUCCAGGUGUAGCGGUGAAAUGCGUAGAUAUCUGGAGGAACACCGGUGGCGAAGGCGGCAUCCUGGACCGAGACUGACACUGAGGAGCGAAAGCCAGGGGAGCAAACGGG